rnacentral:lncRNA from 1 species
UUAGCAUAGUAGCAAAACUACUUAAAAUAAGAGAAAUUAGAAACCAAAAAGCAGCACAGCAUGAGUCUGGGCAUUGCAUGUUGGAUGAUCGAAACAGAGGUCUUGAUUGAGAAUCUAGAUCCUGAAAUACGCAGGCCUGCAAAAAGUCAUUCGAAGAAGUGUGCAAAACUCCCAUCAUUCAGCUUUCAUUUCUGCUUCCCGCUCGGCAGGAUCAUUCUGUACUGAGUUGUUUUUUGAACUGUGACAGAUAGGAAACUUAUCCCGGUGAGUUUUUAUUCCGGGAUGUCAAGGGCACAAUGCGUAGCUUAGUGAAUCUCCAUCAUCUUUGCUGCAGGUGUAAGUUAUGAAGAUAAUUGCUAGAUGGAGGAUUGUCACACUAGUGAUUUAGCAUCUGUUUCAAGCCAGAAUCAUCAUUAAAUCACAGAUUUGCUUUACAAGCAAUAACUAGGGGGAUUUCAUAUUACAAGUAGAGUCUUUAUUACUUACUGAAUCGCUUAUUUUUGAAGACAGAAGAAGAGGAGAGCUCACGUUUUGUUUUUACUGCACAAAUACUGCAUAUGGAAUCUGAGUGAGAAGUUACUCUCUAAAAAUUUCAACAGUGUAUUUGAGAGGUUCCUUUGAGCGAAUCUUCUGGCAGCAGACUCAAAGUAGUCAUCCAAUAAGUAGAAAUUCUUCUAUGGAAGGCCACACACAUUAAUAGCAGUUCUUUCAAGGCGAAUUAUGCCAAGCCAAUCCAGGAAUUGCUGCCAUGGCAUGUAGUUGUGGUCUCUUAAUGCGUUCGAGUAACUGCUGCACAAGGAAUCAAAUUAAUCUUUAAAUCCGUGAAAUUAAAAGGGAUGCAGAAUUACAAAACUAAUAAUAAUAACAAUAAUAAUAAGAUGGAUAGAAGCAUGACCUGCCAAUGCAUGAUUUCGGCAAGCCUUUGCAUUGGUUCACCACUUCCCAAUGCAUUAAGAAUUUCAACAGCAUCCCAGAAUUUCAAUAGCAUUGAUGAGCCUUGAUGGAGAAAUGAGAGUCCAGUUAAAAUUAUUCAAAAUGCAUAUUCACUCGCCAAGAACAUAUGCACCCAGAAAUCUCCUUAAAUAAAUAAGGUUUUAACAAGGUGAAUGCUUUGCUUUUUUCUUUUUUUUGGGAAGAACUUCAAAGUAAACAAAGGUAAGACUAUUGGGUUUCGAUGUUUACCUUGUGUGGGAGAAAUAUAAUGUUUACCCAGAAAUCACAUUUUGUUUUCAGAAUAAAUGGUUUUUUCCACCUCUGCAUUUGACAUUGAAAAAACUUGAAUAAAUACCAAAUAAUUAAGAAAUGCUGCUGAUUUAAUUUACAAAGGAAUGGUGCCUGUGAAGAGAAAUUGACAUAUGACAAUCACCUUCAGCACAAUCAAUUCUCAUCCUAAGUUAGAAGACUAAUCAAACUAAUUGCAGCAAUAACAUCUUUUCCACGACGUCUACUAACUUCUGCACAUAGAGUCAAAAUUAAUCCGUUAUAUCCAUGAAAAGAAUGAAGGCAGAAUUACAUUAAAAAAUGAAUAAAAAAUGAUGGUUAAAAGAAUGACCUGCCAAUGCAUUUAAAAUUUCUUUGAAUUUGUUUCCCACAUCCCAAUUUAAUAGAAUUUCAGGUGAGUAAAAAACAAAUAAAUGAUUCCUCUAGCUUGAUGAGCCUGUACAUGUGGGAAAAAAGAGUUAAAAUAUUAUCAUAAAGCAAAUAAAUUCUCAAUUAUACAAAAAAUAAAAGAAAAAAAAGGUACUCUGUAUAUUGAUCUUGAUUGUAAAGAAAUAAUGACAAAAGGAUACUUACGAACUCAAAGGUAAUACACUGCUCAUUUUGGAAGAAACACAUCCAACACUUCAAAACUUAUCCUUCAUUGAUCUGUGUAAAUAGAAUCAUAGAGUGAAGAUUUUCUCAUGUAAGUUUAAUUUGCAAAUUGGAGAGAAAAAGGACCAACUUACCGAAGCUUCAUCAUCCAGUAGAUAGCGGCCCUCUCUUUGAAUUCUUUGGUCAUCAACCUCAAUAUUUGGGAUGUGAGAAAUGCAAGCCCAAUCCGCACCCUUUCUAUUUCCACAUCUUUCCUUCAAUUGGGGACAGUCAUUGAUAUUCAAUUCUCGUAACGAGGUGAGGGAACGCAUCUCUUGAGGCAGACACUUUAUUGCCGGACAAAUCUCAAUGGUUAGUCUUUGAAGACAAGUGAGAUUCCGCAGUCCAUCUGGAGGUAGAGAUUCGAGCUCUUUAAUGUCCCUAAUCCGAAGGAUCUUCAAUUUAGAGAGAGGAGGAACGAUUGAGGAAGAAGAAGAGAUUGAUGGUGUGAAUAUUUGGUGCACAAGUUGUGGGCUUGCGUACCGCAAAGAUAGUGAAUGAUCGAGAGAUGGAAACUGAGGGAUGGAGGUCAAAUUAGGGCAGUCCUCACAAACGAAAUAUGAAAGACAAGGAAAUUGGAGUAGCUCAAGAGCUGUCGAAUCAUCCUCCUUCUUCUUCUGCCAUCCUUUAAGCUUAGGACAACGAUAUAGCUCGAGAGUCUUUAGGGAUGGAAAGAAUGAUGUUGGUUGUUCCUCAAUCUCCAUGUAUUCUAAAUCAUCUACUCCCCAAAUCUCUAGAUAUUGAAGAGAAGGGAUUUGAUCCAUUGGUGGGAGAUGCUGAUAUCUCUUGCAAUUCCAUAUACAGAGAUAGACAAGAUUCGUGAGGGAAGAGAACCAACUUGGGAACCUCCUGCCUCCAUAGUUAAGCACGCGUAACUCUUUAAGAUUGGGAUGUGGUUGGAGAUUUUGGAAUGCCAUUUCAUCUCUAUCAACAUUUGAAUCUUCCCAACUCUCCUCCCAACUUAAUUUCAAUGAUUGAAUGAGUGGCUUCUCUUUCAAAUUAACAUUUACAAUCUCAUUAUCCACACAUCCCAGAUUUCUAAUUGCAAGACGUCCCCUCAAAUUGCUAAGCUUAUUCAAUUCAUUUAUUUUUCCAACAUCCUUUGAGGAAAUAUGCCCUUUUGCCACUACGAACAGUGACAACGUCUGAAGUGAAGUCAACUGCCCAAGCCCACGUGGCAUAUGAGUCAAAGAGUAACAACCUUCACAAUAUAAAUGCCUAAGAUUCACAAGCUUUUUAAUAUCUUUAGGCAAUUCUUUGAGCUGGACACAAUAAGAGACAUCGAAUACUUGUAAAUUCAGCAAAUCCGUAAUAGAAUGUGAAAGUGCUUUAAGUCCCUUGUUAUCGGAAACAUCAAGAUAUCUUAUAUAUUUUAGCAUUUUUAUAGAAUUAUCCACCGUUUUAUAUGAAUGCAUUGUAAAUACACGUAAAAAUUUUAAAUUUUUAUAAAUAAAUAACUGAUCGUAAUCAUAUUUCUCAAGAAAAAGAAGCGAUCGUAGUCUUUUUGUGUUAUUAAGAAUUUCUUUUGAUGCAACAUCCAAAUUCAAUGCUAAAUGAUGGAUUUUAUCAUCAAUAUUUGAUGCAUCAGAAUUUACUAGCUGAAUUCUCUUCCCACCCACUGUGGUUGCGAGAUCGUGCAUUAAAUCAUGCAUUUUACAGCUUUCUACAUUUCCACAUCUAUCUCUUUUCACCUCUUGAAAAAAUGACCUCCACCACAGUUUCAUAAAAUAUUCAAGCCCAAUAUCUUCAAGACAAUCACUCCAACUUGGUGACUCAAUAAACCCUUGUGCAAUCCAAAGAUGGAUUAAUCUUUUCACAUCAAUCACAUAAUCUUUUGGAUAUAUUGCGCAAUAUGCAAAACAAUGCUUCAAAUGUGAUGGGAGAUGAUCAUAACUUAGCUUCAGUGUUGGCAUAAUAUCAUUACCAUCUUGACUUAUUCUUGAGAGUUCUUUUGUUAAAAAGGGCAGCCACUCAGUUUCUGGAUUUUUCGCAUACAAGAGACUUGCGAUAGUUUUUAUUGCAAGAGGAACUCCAUGACAUUUCUUCAAAAUCUCCUUUCCCAUCUCUCUUACAUUUGCAUGUUUUGGCUCCUGCCCCUCAAGUGCUACAUGCAAAAACAAAGACCAAGACUCAUCCGGAGACAACCCUUCCAAAACAUGUGGUGCUAUUGUGCCAGAUAUAUCUGCCACCAUUUUAGAGCGAGUGGUUAUUAAUAUCUUACUUCCACUAGAGCCACCCACUAAUAAUCUCUUUAAAUUCUGCCAUUUUUCUCUAUUCUCAUUCCACACAUCAUCUAGAACAAGCAGAUAUUUCUUCCCACUAAAAAUUUUUUCCAGUCUAGACUUCAAUGCUUCUAACCCAAGAUCUUCCGAUCUAUUCCCUGUUGCAGACUCUAGAAUCUUUCCAACAGUCAUUUUCACAUCAAAAGGUUCUGAAACACACACCCAUAUUCUUGGCUCAAAUGAAUUCUUAAUCAAUUCAUCAUUCAAUAUGAUUUGAGCAAGAGUGGUCUUCCCUAAUCCUCCAAUUCCAACAAUUGAGAGGACUGAAACACACUCUUCACCAUUGGAAGACAAUACAAGUUGUGUAAUUGCCUUUUUGUCACCCUCUCUCCCAAUAACCACUUCAGGUAAAGAGGACGUAGUUUGAUCCCUCCAUACAAUACUCUCCUGAUCAGUACGAACCUCUAAAUUAAAUUUUCUGUCAGCUUCAAUAUCAGCUAGCCUCUCCCUAAUCGCCUUAACUUUAUGACCCAUUUUAAAACCAUAAACAAGUUUAUUUGAAGACGAAAAGAAGAGACUUACCUCCUUUGUCAUUCUAUUUCCAGUCAUCACUCGGCGCCUUAGGGCUUCUGUGGCGAAGUCAUCUACCAAGUCAUCAGCAUCAUAAACCACUUCUUCUAGCCUCUCAAGCCAGCCUUUCACUUGACGGUUAAGUUUCUGCUGCUCCUCAGCAUCCAGAAGAACGUUGCGAAUACUAGAAACUGUGGCCUCAAGUUUCUUAAGCUCACCUUUGACGCCCCACCACAAUCCGAUCUCAUGAAGGGCUCGAGAACCCAGCUUGGUAAUGAUAUCUAUGACAACGUUAGAGAGAACUCCGUCGGCCAUUUUGGGUGUUUUGGUUUGAUUGUAAAAGGAUGAAAUGUUGCUGUGAAGAAGAAGAUGGUGACAACAAAUGACUAAUUUAAAGAAAAAAAAAAGUGAAGGAAAAAGCAUUCUUCUAAAUAAUUAUCUUCAGUCGGUCAGCUUUGGUGGGCGGUGGUUUGCUUUAAUUUAAAAAGUAAAAUAUAUUAAUAAAUUUAUAUAUAGAAUGAAAGUAAGUUAUGUUUUUUUUAAAAUAAUUUUAUUUUUUUAUUUAAAAAAUAUUUUUUAUUAAAUAAAUUUUGAGUGAUUCAAAUCGUUAAAAAAUAUAAAAUAUAUUUUUAAUGUUAAUGAAUUUUGGUUAUUGAAAUGAAAGUAUUUUUAUAUAUUUGUAUGAUGAUAUAAAAUUAUAUCAGGUGUAACAUGUAUAAUAGAUUUAUUAUGAGUUUUAAAGAUUUUAAAUGGAUCUGAAUUUCAAUACUGUAGCGAUUUGAUUUUUGAAUCGUUAUAGAAAUAACCGGUUGAUUUUAUGAAUUCUAGUACUGUAGCGAUUCGAUUUUUAAAUCGUCAUAGGAACAAUAAUCAUUAUAGGAACAAUAGGUUGAUUUUAUUUUUUGGGUAACAGAAUCUCAAGAGUAUCCUAUUGCAUAUUAUAGAUCCAUCGAUGUUAGAGAUGUUGUGUAUGCACACAUUCAAGAUUUGGAGAUUCCUUCUCUUCUGAGGUUCUAAAGAUUGUGUCAGCAACAUUAUCCUACAUUGCACCUUUCAAAAAAGUAUGAUUUUUUUUAUAUUUUUGCAUGCUCAUUUUGAACCAGCUAUAUAAAUGCUAAGAUCUAUAAUUAUUCGGAUAAUUGAGAAAUAGUUGUUUUGAAUGAUUAAUUUGAUCAUGGAAUAUAAUCUGAGUUGCAGAUGUGGCUCUAGAUUGAAUUACUUAACAAAGUAUGAGGUAUCAAAGGAAAAAGCGAAAACUUUGGGCAUUGACUUCAUUCCUUUGGAGGUUAGUUUGAAGGACACUAUUGAAAGCUUGAAGCAGAAGGGCUUCCUCAGCAUUUGAUUUUGGCUGUUGGAUAAAAAGCAAUGCAAAUAUUACAUUGGCCUUAGCUUCCUAUUGGUGCAAGAUCUUAUUGCCCUUCAAGAUUGUCUUUAUUUGAAAAAAGUGGACCAAUACAAUUUAUAAAAUAUAUAACAAUUUGUAUAUAACUGUGUAUAAACAUAUUACAUGUGUCACUUGUUUUAGUGAUAGAUGAAGUUCGUUUCAGGUCUGAUUUAUGAGGAAAUUACUUUUUUUUUUUUUUUUAUCUGAUUUCAGGUCACAUUCCAAAGAAUAAGACACAAGAAAAAGAAAAUGUAUAAUCCACCAAUUCUGAUUUAGUUCGGUCUUUUCAAAGUAUAUUCAGAUUUCAUAGCCAAUUCAUUUAAUGCCGUAUCUGAUUUCUGGUUCUUGUGAUAUGCUCUUACAAAAUUCAUCUAAAAUUCAGUGCUCUUACACAUUCUGGAAACACAAUUUAUACAAAAACUGAUUUCUCAGGAAAAAAAAGGAAAAUAAUGUUAUUUGCAUUGAAUGAACAAAUGAUUAGCAUAGUAGCAAAACUACUUAAAAUAAGAGAAAUUAGAAACCAAAAAGCAGCACAGCAUGAGUCUGGGCAUUGCAUGUUGGAUGAUCGAAACAGAGGUCUUGAGUGCGAAUCUAGAUCCUGAAAUACGCAGGCCUGCAAAAAGUCAUUCGAAGAAGUGUGCAAAACUCCCAUCAUUCAGCUUUCUUUCUGCUUCCCGCUCAGCAGGAUUACUAUGUACUGAGACAGAUAGGAAACUUAUCCCGGUGAGUUUUUAUUCCGGGAUGUCAAGGGCACAAUGCGCAGCUUAGUGAAUCUCCAUCAUCUUUGCCACAGGUGUAAGUUAUGAAGAUAGUUGCUAGAUGGAGGAUUUUCACACUAGUGAUUAAGCAUCUGUUUCAAGCCAGAAUCAUCAUUAAAUCACAGAUUUGCUUUACAAGCAAUAACUAGAGGGAUUUCAUAUUACAAGUAGAGUCUUUAUAACCUACUGAAUCGCUUAUUUGCGAAGACAGAAGAAAAGGAGAGCUCACGUUUUGUUUUUACUGCACAAAUACUGCAUAUGGAAUCUGAGUGAGAAGUUACUCCCUAAAAAUUUCAAAAGUGUUUUUGAGAGGUACCUUUGCGCGAAUCUUCUGGCAACAGACCCAAAGAAGUCAUCCAAUAAGUAGAAAUUCUUCUAUGGAAGGCCACACACAUUAAUAGCAGUUCUUUCAAGGCGAAUUAUGCCAAGCCAAUCAAGGAAUUGCUGCCAUGGCAUGUAGUUGUGGUUUCUUAAUGUGUUCGAGUAACUUCUGCACAAGGAAUCAAAUUAAUCUUUAAAUCCGUGAAAUUAAAAGGGAUGCAGAAUUACAAAACUAAUAAUAAGAACAAUAAUAAUAAGAUGGAUAGAAGCAUGACCUGCCAAUGCAUGAUUUCGGCAAGCCUUUGCUUUGGUUCACCACUUCCCAAUGUAGUAAGAAUUUCAACAGCAUCCCAGAAUUUCAAUAGCAUCCCAAUGAUAACUCAUACUUGAUGAGCCUUGAUGGAGAAAUGAAAGUCCAGUUAAAAUUAUUCAAAAUGCAUAUCCACUCGCCAAGAACAUAUGCACCCAGAAAUCUCCUUAAAUAAAUAAGGUUUUAACAAGGUGAAUGCUUUGCUUUUUCUUUUUUUGGGAAGAACUUCAAAGUAAACAAAGGUAAGACUGUUGGGUUUUGAUGUUUACCUUGUGUGGGAGAAAUAUGAUGUUUACCCAGAAAUCACAUUUUUGUUUUCAGAAUAAAUGGUUUUUUCCACCUCUGCAUUUGACAUUGAAAAAACUUGAAUAAAUACCAAAUAAUUAAGAAAUGCUGCUGAUUUAAUUUACAAAGGAAUGGUGCAUGUGAAGAGAAAUUGACAUAUGACAAUCACAUUCAGCACAAUCAAUUCUCAUCCUAAUUUAGAAGACUAAUCAAACUAACUGCAGCAAUAACAUCUUUUCCACGAAGUCUACUAACUUCUGCACAUAGAGUCAAAAUUAAUCCGUUAUAUCCAUGAAAAGAAUGAAGGCAGAAUUACAUUAAAAAAUGAAUAAAAAUGAUGGUUAAAAGAAUGACCUGCCAAUGCAUUUAAAAUCUCUUUGAAUUUGUUUCCCACAUCCCAAUUUAUUAGAAUUUCAGGUGAGUAAAAAAAGAAAAAAAUGAUUCCUCUAGCUUGAUGAGCCUGUAUAUGUGGGAAAAAAGUGUUAAAAUAUUAUCAUAAAGCAAACAAAUUCUCAAUUACACAAAAAAUAAAAGAAAGAAAAGGUACGCUGUAUAUUGAUCUUGAUUGUAAAGAAAUAAUGACAAAAGGAUACUUACAACUCAAAGGUAAUACACUGCUCAUUUUGGAAGAAACACAUCCAACACUUCAAAACUUAUCCUUCAUUGAUCUGUGUAAAUAGAAUCAUAGAGUGAAGAUUUUCUCAUGUAAGUUUAGUUUGCAAAUUGGAGAGAAAAAGGACCAACUUACCGAAGCUUCAUCAUCCAGUAGAUAGCGGCCCUCUCUUUGAAUUCUUUGGUUAUCAACUUCAAUAUUUGGGAUGUGAGAAAUGAAAGCCCAAUCCGCACCCUUUCUAUUUCCACAUCUUUCCUUCAAUUGGGGACAGUCAUCGAUAUCCAAUUCUCGUAACGAGGUGAGGGAACGCAUCUCUUGAGGCAGACACUUUAUUGCCGGACAAAUCUCAAUGGUUAGUCUUUGAAGACAAGUGAGAUUCCGCAGUCCAUCUGGAGGUAGAGAUUCGAGCUCUUUAAUGUCCCUAAUCCAAAGGUUCUUCAAUUUAGAGAGAGGAGGAAUGAUUGAGGAAGAAGAAGAGAUUGAUGGUGUGAAUAUUUGGUGCACAAGUUGUGGGCUUGCGUGCAGCAAAUGUAGUGAAUCAUCGAGAGAUGGAAACUGAGGGAUGGACUUCAAAUUAGGGCAGUCCUCACAAACGAAAUAUGAAAGACAAGGAAAUUGGAGUAGCUCAAGAGCUGUCGAAUCAUCCUCCUUCUUCUUCUGCCAUCCUUUAAGCUUAGGACAACCAUAUAGCACGAGAGUCUUUAGGGAUGGAAAGAAUGAUGUUGGUUGUCCCUCAAUCUCCAUGUAUUCUAAAUCAUCUACUCCCCAAAUCUCUAGAUAUUGAAGAGAAGGGAUUUGAUCCAUUGGUGGGAGAUGCUGAUAUCUCUUGCAAUUCCAUAUACAGAGAUAGACAAGAUUCGUGAGGGAAGAGAACCAACUUGGGAACCUCCUGCCUCCAUAGCCAAACACAAGUAACUCUUUAAGAUUGGGAUGUGGUUGGAGAUUUUGGAAUGCCAUUUCAUCUCUAUCAACAUUUGAAUCUUCCCAACUCUCCUCCCAACGUAGUUUCAAUGAUUGAAGGAGUGGCUUCUCUUUCAAAUUAACAUUUACAAUCUCAUCAUCCACACAUCCCAGAUUUCUAAUUUCAAGACGUCCCCUCAAAUUGUUAAGCUUAUUCAAUUCAUUUAUUUUUCCAACAUCCUUUGAGGAAAUAUGCCCUUUUCCCACUACGAACAGUGACAACGUCUGAAGUGAAGUCAACUGCCCAAGCCCACGUGGCAUAUGAGUCAAAGAGUUACAACCUUCACAAUAUAAAUGCCUAAGAUUCACAAGCUUUUUAAUAUCUUUAGGCAAUUCUUUGAGCUCGUCACAAUAAGAGACAUCUAAUACUUGUAAAUUCAGCAAAUCCGUAAUAGAAUUUGAAAGUGCUUUAAGUUUCUCGUUAUCGGAAACGUCAAGAUAUCUUAGAUAUUUUAGCAUUUUUAUAGAAUUAUCCAUUAUUCUAUAUGAAUGCAUAGUAAAUACACGCAAAAAUUUUAAAUUUUUAUAAAUAAAUAGCUGAUCGACAUUAUGUUCCUCAGACAAAAGAAUCGAUCGUACUCUUUUUGCAUUGUUAAGAAUUUCUUGUGGUGCAACAACUAAAUUCAAUGCUACAUGAUGGGUUUUCUCAUCAAUAUUUGGUGCAUCAGAAUUUACUAGCUGAAUCCUCUUUCCACCCACUGUGGUUGCGAGAUCGUGCAUUAAAUCAUGCAUUUUACAGCUUUCUACAUUUCCACAUCUAUCUCUUUCCACCUCUUGAAAAAAUGACCUCCACCACAGUUUCAUAAAAUAUUCAAGCCCAAUAUCUUCAAGACAAUCACUCGUACUUGGUGAUUCAAUAAACCCUUGUGCAAUCCAAAGAUGGAUUAAUGUUUUCACAUCAAUCACAUAAUCUUUUGGAUAUAUUGCGCAAUAUGCAAAACAAUGCUUCAAAUGUGAUGGGAGAUGAUCAUAACUUAGCUUCAGUGUUGGCAUAAUAUCAUUACCAUCUUGACUUAUUCUUGAGAGUUCUUUUGUUAAAAAGGGCAACCACUCAGUUUCUGGAUUUUUCGCAUACAAGAGACUUGCUAUAGUUUUUAUUGCAAGUGGAACUCCAUGACAUUUCUUCAAAAUCUCCUUUCCCAUCUCUCUUACAUUUGCAUGUUUUGGCUCCUGCCCCUUAAGUGCUACAUGCAAAAACAAAGACCAAGACUCAUCCAGAGACAACCCUUCCAAAACAUGUGGUGCUGUUGUGCCAGAUAUAUCUGCCACCUUUUUAGAGCGAGUGGUUAUUAAUAUCUUACUUCCACUAGAGCCACCCACUAAUAAUCUCUUUAAAUUCUGCCAUUUUUCUCUAUUCUCAUUCCACACAUCAUCUAGAACAAGCAGAUAUUUCUUCCCACUAAUAAUUUUUUCCAGUCUAGACUUCAAUGCUUCUAACCCAAGAUCUUCCGAUUUAUUCCCUGUUGCAGACUCUAGAAUCUUUCCAACAGUCAUUUUCACAUCAAAAGGUUCUGAAACACACACCCAUAUUCUUGGCUCAAAUGAAUUCUUAAUCAUUUCAUCAUUCAAUAUGAUUUGAGCAAGAGUGGUCUUCCCUAAUCCUCCAAUUCCAACAAUUGAGAGGACUGAAACACACUCUUCACCAUUGGAAGACAAUACAAGUUGUGUAAUUGCCUUUUUGUCACCCUCUCUCCCAAUAACCACUUCAGGUAAAGAGGACGUAGUUUGAUCCCUCCAUACAAUACUCUCCUGAUCAGUACGAACCUCUAAAUUAAAUUUUCUGUCAGCUUCAAUAUCAGCUAGCCUCUCCCUAAUCGCCUUAACUUUAUGACCCAUUUUAAAACCAUAAACAAGUUUAUUUGAAGACGAAAAGAAGAGACUUACCUCCUUUGUCAUUCUAUUUCCAGUCAUCACUCGGCGCCUUAGGGCUUCUGUGGCGAAGUCAUCUACCAAAUCAUCAGCAUCAUAAACCACUUCUUCUAGCCUCUCAAGCCAGCAUUUCACUUGACGGUUAAGUUUCUGCUGCUCCUCAGCAUCCAGAAGAACGUUGCGAAUACUAGAAACUGUGGCCUCAAGUUUCUUAAGCUCACCUUUGACGCCCCACCACAAUCCGAUCUCAUGAAGGGCUCGAGAACCCAGCUUGGUAAUGAUAUCUCCGACAACGUUAGAGAGAACUCCGUCGGNNNNNNNNNNNNNNNNNNNNNNNNNNNNNNNNNNNNNNNNNNNNNNNNNUUUAAAUAAAAAAAAAAAAAAAGAAGUGGAGGAAAAAGCGGUCCGUUAACUUUGGACGGCGCUGGUUUGCUUUAAUUUAAAAAGUAAAAUAUAUUAAUAAAUUUAUAUAUAGAAUGAAAGUUAGUUAUUUUUUAUAAAAUAAUUUUAUUUUUUAUUAAAUAAAUUUUAUGAGUGAUUUAAAUCGUUAAAAAAUAUAAAAUAUAUUUUUGAUGUUACUAAAAUUUUGUUAUUGAAAUGAAAGUAUUUUUAUAUAUUUUGUGAUGAUGUAUAAAGUUACAUUAGGUAUAAUAUGAUGUAUAGUAAAUUUAUUAUGAGUUUUAAUGACUUUAAAUCGAUUUAAAUUUUAAUAUUGAUAGCGGUUCAAUUUCUGAAUUAUUAUCGAAAUGUAUAGCAGGAGCUCAAGAGUAUCCUGUUGCAUAUUAUAGAUCCAUCGAUAUAAAAAAUAUGGCAUAUGCACACAUUCAGGAUUUAGAGAUUCCUUCAGCUAGUGGCAGAUAUUGUUUAAUUAAAAGAGAUGUCCACUUCUCUGAGGUUUUGAAGAUUGUGUCAGCAACAUUAUCCUACAUUGCACCUUCCAAAAAACUAUGGUUUUUUUUAUAUUUUUGCAUGCUCAUGUUGGACCAGCUAUAUGAAUGGCUAAGAUAUAUAAUUAUUUGGAUAACUGAGAAAUAGUUAUUUUGAAUGAUUAAUUUGAUCAUGGAAUAUAAUCUGAGUUGCAGAUGUGGCUCUGAAUUGAAUUACUUAACAAAGUAUGAGGUAUCAAAGAAAAAAGCGAAAACUUUGGAUAUUGAUUUCAUUCCUUUGGAGGUUAGUUGAAGGACACUAUUGAAAGCUUGAAGGAGAAGAGCCUCCUCAGCAUUUGAUUUUGGCUGUCGGAUAAAAAGCAAUGCAAAUAUUACAUUGGCCUUUCAGGUUCAUUGGCUUUAGCUUUCUAUUGGUGUAAGGUAUUAUUGCCCUUCAGAAUUGUCUUUAUUUAAAAAAAGUGAACCCAUACAAUUUGUAAAAUAUAUUAAAAUUUGUAUACAGCUGUAUAUAAACAUAUUACAUGUGUCGCUUGUUUCUGGUAGAUAAAGUUCAUUUCAGGUCUGAUUUCUGAGGAAGUUGCUCUUUUUUUUUAUCUGAUUUCAAGUCUCAUUCCAAAGAAGAAGACACAAGAAAAAGAAAAUGUGUAAUCCACCAAUUCAGAUUUAGUUCAGUCUUUUCAAAGUAUAUUCAGAUUUCAUAGCCAAUUCAUUUAAUGCUGUAUCUGAUUUCUGGUUCUUGUGAUACGCUCUUACAAAAUUCAUUUAAAAUUCAGUACUCUUACACAUUUUGGAAACACAAUUUAUACAAAAACUGAUUUCUCAGGAAAAAAAAGGAAAAUAAUGUUAUUUGCAUUGAAUGAACAAAUGAUUAGCAUAGUAGCAAAACUACUUAAAAUAAGAGAAAUUAGAAACCAAAAAGCAGCACAGCAUGAGUCUGGGCAUUGCAUGUUGGAUGAUCGAAACAGAGGUCUUGAGUGCGAAUCUAGAUCCUGAAAUACGCAGGCCUGCAAAAAGUCAUUCGAAGAAGUGUGCAAAACUCCCAUCAUUCAGCUUUCUUUCUGCUUCCCGCUCAGCAGGAUUACUAUGUACUGAGACAGAUAGGAAACUUAUCCCGGUGAGUUUUUAUUCCGGGAUGUCAAGGGCACAAUGCGCAGCUUAGUGAAUCUCCAUCAUCUUUGCCACAGGUGUAAGUUAUGAAGAUAGUUGCUAGAUGGAGGAUUUUCACACUAGUGAUUAAGCAUCUGUUUCAAGCCAGAAUCAUCAUUAAAUCACAGAUUUGCUUUACAAGCAAUAACUAGAGGGAUUUCAUAUUACAAGUAGAGUCUUUAUAACCUACUGAAUCGCUUAUUUACGAAGACAGAAGAAUAGGAGAGCUCACGUUUUGUUUUUACUGCACAAAUACUGCAUAUGGAAUCUGAGUGAGAAGUUACUCCCUAAAAAUUUCAAAAGUGUUUUUGAGAGGUACCUUUGAGCGAAUCUUCUGGCAACAGACUCAAAGAAGUCAUCCAAUAAGUAGAAAUUCUUCUAUGGAAGGCCACACACAUUAAUAGCAGUUCUUUCAAGGCGAAUUAUGCCAAGCCAAUCAAGGAAUUGCUGCCAUGGCAUGUAGUUGUGGUUUCUUAAUGUGUUCGAGUAACUUCUGCACAAGGAAUCAAAUUAAUCUUUAAAUCCGUGAAAUUAAAAGGGAUGCAGAAUUACAAAACUAAUAAUAAGAACAAUAAUAAUAAGAUGGAUAGAAGCAUGACCUGCCAAUGCAUGAUUUCGGCAAGCCUUUGCUUUGGUUCACCACUUCCCAAUGUAGUAAGAAUUUCAACAGCAUCCCAGAAUUUCAAUAGCAUCCCAAUGAUAACUCAUACUUGAUGAGCCUUGAUGGAGAAAUGAAAGUCCAGUUAAAAUUAUUCAAAAUGCAUAUCCACUCGCCAAGAACAUAUGCACCCAGAAAUCUCCUUAAAUAAAUAAGGUUUUAACAAGGUGAAUGCUUUGCUUUUUCUUUUUUUGGGAAGAACUUCAAAGUAAACAAAGGUAAGACUAUUGGGUUUUGAUGUUUACCUUGUGUGGGAGAAAUGUGAUGUUUACCCAGAAAUCACAUUUUGUUUUCAGAAUAAAUGGUUUUUUCCACCUCUGCAUUUGACAUUGAAAAAACUUGAAUAAAUACCAAAUAAUUAAGAUAUGCUGCUGAUUUAAUUUACAAAGGAAUGGCGCAUGUGAAGAGAAAUUGACAUAUGACAAUCACCUUCAGCACAAUCAAUUCUCAUCCUAAUUUAGAAGACUAAUCAAACUAAUUGCAGCAAUAACAUCUUUUCCACGAAGUCUACUAACUUCUGCACAUAGAGUCAAAAUUAAUCCGUUAUAUCCAUGAAAAGAAUGAAGGCAGAAUUACAUUAAAAAAUGAAUAAAAAUGACGGUUAAAAGAAAGACCUGCCAAUGCAUUUAAAAUCUCUUUGAAUUUGUUUCCCACAUCCCAAUUUAUUAGAAUUUCAGGUGAGUAAAAAACAAAUAAAUGAUUCCUCUAGCUUGAUGAGCCUGUACAUGUGGGAAAAAAGUGUUAAAAUAUUAUCAUAAAGCAAAUAAAUUCUCAAUUAUACAAAAAAUAAAAGAAAGAAAAGGUACUCUGUAUAUUGAUCUUGAUUGUAAAGAAAUAAUGACAAAAGGUACUCUGUAUAUUGAUCUUGAUUGUAAAGAAAUAAUGACAAAAGGAUACUUACGAACUCAAAGGUAAUACACUGCUCAUUUUGGAAGAAACACAUCCAACACUUCAAAACUUAUCCUUCAUUGAUCUGUGUAAAUAGAAUCAUAGAGUGAAGAUUUUCUCAUGUAAGUUUAAUUUGCAAAUUGGAGAGAAAAAGGACCAACUUACCGAAGCUUCAUCAUCCAGUAGAUAGCGGCCCUCUCUUUGAAUUCUUUGGUCAUCAACUUCAAUAUUUGGGAUGUGAGAAAUGAAAGCCCAAUCCGCACCCUUUCUAUUUCCACAUCUUUCCUUCAAUUGGGGACGGUCAUUGAUAUUCAAUUCUCGUAACGAGGUGAGGGAACGCAUCUCUUGAGGCAGACACUUUAUUGCCGGACAAAUCUGAAUGGUUAGUCUUUGAAGACAAGUGAGAUUCCACAGUCCAUCUGGAGGUAGAGAUUCCAGCUCUUCAAUGUCCGUAAUCUGAAGGAUCUUCAAUUUAGAGAGAGGAGGAAUGAUUGAGGAAGAAGAAGAGAUUGAUGGUGUGAAUAUUUGGUGCACAAGUUGUGGGCUUGCGCAGUGCAAAUAUAGUGAAUGAUCGAGAGAUGGAAACUGAGGGAUGGAGUUCAAAUUAGGGCAGUCCCUACAAACGAAAUACGAAAGACAAGGAAAUUGGAGUAGCUCAAGAGCUGUCGAAUCAUCCUUCUUCUUCUGCAAUCCUUUAAGCUUAGGACAACCAUAUAGCACGAGAACCCUUAGGGAUGGAAAGAAUGAUGUUGCUUGUCCCUCAAUCUCAAUGUACUCUAAAUCAUCUACUUCACGAAUAUGUAGAUAUUGAAGAGAAGGGAUUUGAUCCAUUGGUGGGAGAUGCUGAUAUCUAUUGCAAUUCCGUAUACAGAGAUAGACAAGAUUCGUGAGGGAAGAGAACCAACUUGGGAACCUCCUGCCUCCAUUGCCAAGCACACGUAACUCUUUAAGAUUGGGAUGCGGUUGGAGAUUUUGGAAUGCCAUUUCAUCUCUAUCAACAUUUGAAUCUUCCCAACUCUCCUCGCAACGUAAUUCCAAUGAUUGAAGGACUGGUUUCUCUUUCAUAUUAACAUUUACAAUCUCAUUAUCCACACAACCCAGAUUUAUAAUUUCAAGACGUCCCCUCAAAUUCUUAAGCUUAUUCAGUUCAUUUAUUUUUUCAACAUCCUUUGAGGAAAUAUGCCCUUUUGCCACUACGAACAGCGACAACGUCUGAAGUGAAGUCAACUGCCCAAGCCCACGUGGCAUAUGAGUCAAAGAGUAACAACCUUCACAAUAUAAAUGCCUAAGAUUUACAAGCUUUUUAAUAUCUUUAGGCAAUUCUUUGAGCUGGACACAGUAAGAGACAUCUAAUACUUGUAAAUUCAGCAAAUCGGUAAUAGAAUGUGAAAGUGCUUUAAGUCCCUUGUUAUCGGAACGUCAAGAUAUCUUAUAUAUUUUAGCAUUUUUAAAGAAUUAUCCAUCGUUGUAUAUGAAUGCAUCAUAAAUACACGUAAAAAUUUUAAAUUUUUAUAAAUAAAUAGUUGAUCGCAAUCAUAUUUCUCAAGCAAAAGAAGCGAUCGUACUCUUUUUGCGUUAUUAAGAAUUUCUUUUGAUGCAACAUCCAAAUUCAAUGCUACAUGAUGGAUUUUCUCAUUAAUAUUUAGUAUAUCAGAAUUUACUAGCUGAAUCCUCUUCCCACCCACUGUGGUUGCGAGAUCGUGCAUUAAAUCAUGCAUUUUACAGCUCUCUACAUUUCCAUAUCUAUCUCUUUCCACUUCUUGAAAAAAUGACCUCCACCACAGUUUCAUAAAAUAUUCAAGCCUAAUAUCUUCAAGAUAAUCACUCGUACUUGGUGACUCAAUAAACCCUUGUGCAAUCCAAAGAUGGAUUAAUCUUUUCACAUCAAUCACAUAAUCUUUUGGAUAUAUUGCGCAAUAUGCAAAACAAUGCUUCAAAUGUGAUGGGAGAUGAUCAUAACUUAGCUUCAGUGUUGGCAUAAUAUCAUUACCAUCUUGACUUAUUCUUGAGAGUUCUUUUGUUAAAAAGGGCAGCCACUCAGUUUCUGGAUUUUUCGCAUACAAGAGACUUGCGAUGGUUUUUAUUGCAAGAGGAACUCUAUGACAUUUCUUCAAAAUCUCCUUUCCCAUCUCUCUUACAUUUGCAUGUUUUGGCUCCUGCCCCUCAAGUGCUACAUGCAAAAACAAAGACCAAGACUCAUCCGGAGACAACCCUUCCAAAACAUGUGGUGCCAUUGUGCUAGAUAUAUCUGCCACCUUUUUAGAGCGAGUGGUUAUUAAUAUCUUACUUCCACUAGAGCCACCCACUAAUAAUCUCUUUAAAUUCUCCCAUUUUUCUCUAUUCUCAUUCCACACAUCAUCUAGAACAAGCAGAUAUUUCUUCCCACUAAUAAUUUUUUCCAGUCUAGACUUCAAUGCUUCUAACCCAAGAUCUUCCGGUCUAUUCCCUGUUGCAGACUCUAGAAUCUUUCCAACAGUCAUUUUCACAUCAAAAGGUUCUGAAACACACACCCAUAUUCUUGGCUCAAAUGAAUUCUUAAUCAAUUCAUCAUUGAAUAUGAUUUGAGCAAGAGUGGUCUUCCCUAAUCCUCCAAUUCCAACAAUUGAGAGGACUGAAACACACUCUUCACCAUUGGAAGACAAUACAAGUUCUGUAAUUGCCUUUUUGUCACCCUCUCUCCCAAUAACCACUUCAGGUAAAGAGGACGUAGUUUGAUCCCUCCAUACAAUACUCUCCUGAUCCGUACGAAACUCUAAAUUAAAUUUUCUGUCAGCUUCAAUAUCAGCUAGCCUCUCCCUAAUCUCCUUAACUUUAUGACCCAUUUUAAAACCAUAAACAAGUUGAUUUGAAGACGAAAAGAAGAGACUUACCUCCUUUGUCAUUCUAUUUCCAGUCAUCACUCGGCGCCUUAGAGCUUCUGUGGCGAAGUCAUCUACCAAGUCAUCAGCAUCAUAAACAACUUCUUCUAGCCUCUCAAGCCAGCCUUUCACUUGACGGUUAAGUUUCUGCUGCUCCUCAGCAUCCAGAAGAACGUUGCGAAUACUAGAAACUGUGGCCUCAAGUUUCUUAAGCUCACCUUUGACGCCCCACCACAAUCCGAUCUCAUGAAGGGCUCGAGAACCCAGCUUGGUAAUGAUAUCUCCGACAACGUUAGAGAGAACUCCGUCGGCCAUUUUGGGCGUUUUGGUUUGAUUGUAAAAGGAUGAAAUGUUGCUGUGAAGAAGAAGACGGUGACAACAAAUGACUGAUUUAAAGAAAAAAAAAGAAGUGGAGGAAAAAGCAUUCUUCUAAAUGAUUAUCUUCGGUCGGUCAACUUUGAACGGCGCUGGUUUGCUUUUUAAAUAAUAUAUUAAUACAUUUAUAUAUAUACAGAUGGAAAGAAAGUUAUUUUUUAAAAAAUAAUUUUAUUUUUUAUUAGAAAUGCAUUUUUUUUAAUUAAAUUUGAUGAGUGAUUCAAAUAUUAAAAAAUAUAAAAUAUAUAUAUACAGAUGGAAAGAAAGUUAUUUUUUAAAAAAUAAUUUAAUUUUUAAUAGAAAUGUAUUUUUUUUAAUUAAAUUUGAUGAGUGAUUCAAUUAUUAAAAAAUAUAAAAUAUAUUUUCGAUAUUGCUGAGAUUAAAUUGAUGUUGUAGUCGGAAUGAAACUGUACUAUAAUUGGUUAGAAUUUAUAAGAGAGGAAAUAUGAGAUAGUGGUGGGUACCUAUAGCAGCAAGGCAGUGAUGAGUACCUAUGACAGCUACUGUGACGCUAAAGUCAGUAUUUUGAAAAAUAGAAAAAAUUUAAUGAAUAACUUAGAGUUUGAGUAGUAUCAUAGAUAAUGUACCUUUAUCUUCGUAAUCGUUCUCCUUUUAUACUAUGAGAAAAUGUAUAUAAAUAUAUCAUGAAACAACAGGGCCUAAACUGGUCCAAAUAACUUUUGGACUCACUUUUCACUUGACCCAAAAUGGUUAAUUCAGGUUAUUUAGUAGUUUCGUGCUAGCUAUUAUAUACAAUUCCAAAAUCUCCCGAUGUGGGACAGCUUUCGCAGCGGAAGCGAACAGCUGACCAUUACACUCGAUCCCGCUAAAUUUGCGACGUCCUCGUCGCAGUUGAAUUGGAUACAAUUGCUAAUUAGGACCGAACCCUUAGGUAUUGUGGUUCGCUAGUACGUCGGGCGGCUCCACCUCGUCUCACACGGGUAGCUCUUUCCUUACAGGCUCACUAGCUCUACAUAAUUUGUUUGAUCUAGAGUGGCUCUAAUACCAAUUGAAACAGUCAGGUCCAAACUUGCUCAAAUAACUUUUGGACCCACUUUCUACUUUGCCCAAAAUAGUUAAUCUAAGUUAUUUAGUAGUUUUGUGCUACCUAUUAUAUACAAUUCCGAUUUUCUAUAAUCUCCCGGUGUGGGACGGCUUCCGCAGUGGAAGCAGGUAGCUGACCGUUGCACUUGGUCCCGCUAAAUUUGCGACGUCCUCGUCGCAACUGAAUCGGAUACAAUUGCUAACCAGGAUCGAACCCUUAGGUAUUGUAGUUCGCUAGUACCUCGAGCGGCUCCACCUCGUCUCACACGGGUAGCCCUUUCCUCGUAGGCCCACUAGCACAAUUUGUAUCUAGGGUGGCUCUAAUACCAAUUGAAACAGUCGGGUCCAAACUGGCCCAAAUAACUUUUGGACCCACUUUCCACUUGUCCCAAAAUGGUUAACUCAAGUUAUUUAAUAGUUUCGUGCUAACUAUUAUAUACAAUUUCGAUUUUCUAUAAUCUCCCAAUGUGGGACAGCUUCCGCAGCGGAAACAGGUAGCUGAUCGUUAUAAUCGGUCUCGCUAAAUUUGCGAUGUCCUCGUCGCAACUGAAUUUGAUACAAUUGCUAACCAAGACCGAACCUUUAGGUACUGUGGUUCGCUAGUACCUCUGGCGGCUCCACCUCAUCUAACACGGGUAGCUCUUUCCUCGCAGGCCCACUAGCUCUGCACAAUUUGUCUAACUCAGGGUGGCUCUGAUACCAAUUAAAAUAGUCGGGCCUAACCUGCCCCCAAAGGUUUGACUUUUGAAUCUGUGAGCGGACUUUAGGCCGUCGAACCUGCUGCCGAAAGUGCCCUGUCCAGCCUUUUUCAGCUUGCUUCCUACGUGUGUUCUUCUAUGUUCUUAGGGGGUAGUUUUAAGUGUUGUAAAAGUUAUAUUUGGUUCCUCAUUUAAGUCCAUCUGUGUAGGAUCGGACUUGGAAGAUCGUAGAAACUUGCAGUAAGAUAACUGUAUCAAAAUUAGGCGUGCGUCAGCCAGAGGUGAGUAGAACUAAACUCAAUUAUUAUUUUAAAAAAACCAAAUGUUUUAAGCAUACUUAUGCAUCACAAAUGCUAUGUAUAUAUAUGAUUAUGGUGCUUUGCAUUAGAAUUCACGAAUAUAAUGCAUUGCAUAAUUUAUUAUUGUUGUUGAUGUAUGUUAGAUGACCUUCUAGCCCUCAAGUAUGUUAUGGUAUGUUAUGACGGAUAUGGAAAGAGCAGGACUUGCUCAUUCUACGCCCUUGGCACUGUGUAAGGGAAAGACCAGGGUUACACAUUUUAUAUCCGUGGCACUAUGGAUAUGUUAUUUUAUGUUUAAGAGGAAAUUCUGAAAAGCGCUUGUCGUGGGCUGGGCACUAUUGGAAUCUAUAGAGAGUCACUGGUGACAAGUCUAUCUUGAUAUGAAUUGUUUGUGUUGUGACACAUUUAUACGAUCAUAUGUCUUAUUAAACUGCUUUUGUUAUGUUUCUGCUCACUAGCCUCUUAUAGUUUAUCCCUUUUCCCUAACUCCAGAUUUGCAGGAUCAGAAUUAGCUCGAGAGGUGGGCCGAGGUGUUGGUAUAGUCCAUUGUAAUAACAUAGUUGUGGACAUGUAUUAAUUUGUGAAUUUGAAUUGUGUUUUGCGUGAGUUUUCUUUAUAAUCCUUAUUUUAUGAUUUUUUUAUGUAAAAGAUUUUAAGUCUAAAUUAUGUUUGAACUAAGCUUGAGGUGUGUAAUAUUGACUAUACUAAAACAUUUGAUGAGAGCUCUAGUAUGAAUUUAUGUUUCCAGUUCUGAUACAUGCGCAGGUCAAGUUUUUGUUAUUGAAAUAGAAGUGUUUUUACAUGUUUGUGUGAUUAUGUAUGGAUCUAUAUCAAAUGUAACAGGAUGUAUAGUAAAUUUGCUAUGAGUUCCGGCAACCUUAGAUUGAUCUGAACCGUAGUGCCGAUAGCGGUCUGAGUUGCAGAUGUGGCUCCGAAUUGAAUUAUUUAACAAAGUAUGGGGUAUCAAAGGAAAAAAGUGAAAACUUUGGGUAUUGACUUCAUUCCUUUGGAGGUUAGUCUGAAGGACACUAUUGAAAGCUUGAAGGAUAAGGGCUUCCUCAGCAUUUAAUAUUGGCUGUUGGAUAAAAAGCAAUGCAAAUAUUACAUUGGCUUUUCAGGUUCAUUGGCUUUAGCUUCCUAUUGGUGCAAGAUAUUAUUACCCUUCAGGAUUGUCUUUAUUUGAAAAAAGUGGACCAAUACAAUUUGUAAAAUACAUAACAAUUUGUAUACAACUGUAUAUAAACAUAUUACAUGUGUCACUUGUUUCACUGGUGGAUGAAGUUCAUUUCAGGUCUGAUUUCUGAGGAAGUUACUCUUUUUUUUAUCUGAUUUCAGGUCUCAUUCCAAAGAAUAAGACACAAGAAAAAGAAAAUGUGUAAUCCACCAAUUCAGAUUUAGUUCAGUCUUUUCAAAGUAUAUUCAGAUUUCAUAGCCAACUCAUUUUAUGCUGUAUCUGAUUUCUGGUUCUUGUGAUAUGCUCUUACAAAAUUCAUCUAAAAUUCAGUGCUCUUACACAUUCUGGAAACAACAAUUUAUACAAAAACUGAUUUCUCAGGGAAAAAAAGGAAAAUAAUGUUAUUUGCAUUGAAUGAACAAAUGAUUAGCAUAGUAGCAAAACUACUUAAAAUAAGAGAAAUUAGAAACAAAAAAGCAGCACAGCAUGAGUCUGGGCAUUGCAUGUUGGAUGAUCGAAACAGAGGUGUUGAGUGAGAAUCUAGAUCCUGAAAUACGCGGGCCUGCAAAAAGUCAUUCGAAGAAGUGUGCAAAACUCCCAUCAUUCAGCUUUCAUUUCUGCUUCCGGCUUAGCAGGAUUACUAUGUACUGAGUUGUUUUCUGAACUGUGACAGAUAGGAAACUUAUCCCGGUGAGAUUUUAUUCCGGAAUGUCAAGGGCACAAUGCGUAGCUUAGUGAAUCUCCAUCAUCUUUGCCGCAGGUGUAAGUUAUGAAGAUAAUUGCUAGAUGGAGGAUUUUCACACUAGUAAUUUAGCAUCUGUUUCAAGCCAGAAUCAUCAUUAAAUCACAGAUUUGCUUUACAAGCAAUAACUAGGGGGAUUUCAUAUUACAAGUAGUCUUUAUAACUUACUGAAUCGCUUAUUUUUGAAGACAGAGGAUGAGGAGAGCUCACGUUUUGUUUUUACUGCACAAAUACUGCAUAUGGAAUCUGAGUGAGGAGUUACUCUCUAAAAAUUUCAAAAGUGUUUUUGAGAGGUACCUUUGCGUGAAUCUUCUGGCAACAGACUCAAAGUAGUCAUCCAAUAAGUAGAAAUUCUUCUAUGGAAGGCCACACACAUUAAUAGCAGUUCUUUCAAG